rnacentral:rRNA from 1 species
UACGAAGGGGGCUAGCGUUGCUCGGAAUCACUGGGCGUAAAGGGUGCGUAGGCGGGUCUUUAAGUCAGGGGUGAAAUCCUGGAGCUCAACUCCAGAACUGCCUUUGAUACUGAAGAUCUUGAGUCCGGCAGAGGUGAGUGGAACUGCGAGUGUAGAGGUGAAAUUCGUAGAUAUUCGCAAGAACACCAGUGGCGAAGGCGGCUCACUGGCCCGAUACUGACGCUGAGGUGCGAAAGCGUGGGGAGCAAACAGG